UACCCGUGAGUCAGUAGCACACAUACACAUUAAAGUUAGGCAUCCUAAUAUCUGCAUGGGUUUAUAUAUUCUUCCAUUUAUGGUUUUGCUUUUCGUUUAAAUUUGGGUUUCUGUUACUAUUCUGUUGAUCUUCUACACUAUUAUAAGUUUAUAUAUUCUUCCAGUCUAAGUAAAGUAAGGAGCUUAUUUUGAAUAAGAUGUGCUCUUCUAUUAUAUUCUGUUUUUGAAAGAAAAUUGUUGUGGCAUUGGGUACCUACCAAAAUUGAUUUGAAAACAUUUUCAAAAUUGAUCUUUGAAAUUGCUAGCUAUUGAGAAAUUUGGAACCAAAUGUUUACCGUACCUAUCUCGCACAUCAUCGUUGAAGACAUGAACUACCACCACCAAACAUUUCAUUAACUAGUCUUAUAGUUAUGAUUCUUGAUUUCCAAAAGAUCCAACACAUCCCAACGCACACCAUGACUUUUACCUUUAUUUGACCAUAAUUCAUAGUAUCACGCGAGCUAGACUAGUGGUGGGUUUCUCAUGUAGAUGCUUGGGAACGCUACGGAAGGUUUACGGGUGUGGAGUGAGAGAUUAUGUCAAAUCUCUUCAAUCCCUCAGUGUUGGUGUAGGUUUGCCGCUUCAACCAUAGAGAAAGAGGUCUCCGAAGAAGCUGCACGUGUAACAUCUAUUGAGGCCUUCAAGUGCUUGUUUGAGGCCAUAAACGCCAACGCACAAUGUUUUUUUAUUUGUUGGUAAGAAGACCAA